GUAGCACCGUGAUCGGAGGGAUACGAGCACAGUGUUGCAAACCCCAUAGGGACCUGUACAAAAACUACAGGGUGAAGAACCGUCCCCCAGGCCUCCUGCCUGGGCCAGCCACCAUGGAAGGUAAACACAGCCCGGCAGCCUGCCCUUGUUUGGAAGCCUGGAAAAAAUGUCAGGAAGUUGACUGGACAAGAGAUGACCGCCACUUGCUGGCCUCUGUCUCUCAUCUGUUUCCUGGAAAGCCAGCCUCCUGCCAAACCAUCUGUUUUCAUCAUGAAAAAUGGAACAAAUGUUGCUUGUCUGGUGAAAGAUUUCUACCCUAAAAAGGUGACUAUAAGUCUCAGAUCAUCCAAGAAGAUUGUGGAAUACGACCCUGCUAUAGUCAUCUCCCCCAGCGGGAAGUACAGUGCUGUCAAGCUUGGUCAGUAUGGAGAUUCAAAUUCAGUGACAUGUUCAGUUCAGCACAACAGUGAAACUGUGCACUCGACUGAUUUUGAACCAUAUGCAAAUUCUUUCAAUGAUGAAAAACUACCAGAACCUGAAAAUGACACACAAAUUUCACAAAUUUCAGAGCCUUGCCAUGGCCCAAGAGUCACAGUUCACACAGAGAAGGUAAACAUGAUGUCCCUCACGGUGCUGGGUCUACGACUGCUGUUUGCCAAGACCAUUGCCAUCAAUUUUCUCCUGACUGUCAAGUUAUUCUUUUAAGGUGGGCUGGCAUGAGGAGACUACGGUUCCUGAAAGAAAUCAAAAGCUUAGAAAGAUGCUAUAUCCAAGGCUUCCAACUUCCCAGUGCUUCAAACUGACCCUUCACCACCACAUUUAAACAGCUGCUAACAAAACCAGCUUUUCUGUGACAGCAACAAGCCUAGCUAAUCCUCCAGUCUAGAAGAAAAGCAAAAGCCCUCGGGAGUGGAGUGUGCCCCAGCUUUACCCGCUGCUUUAUAAAGGCAUGGGAAGUUAU